rnacentral:rRNA from 1 species
CGUAGGUCCCGAGCGUUGUCCGGAUUUAUUGGGCGUAAAGCGAGCGCAGGCGGUUUGAUAAGUCUGAAGUUAAAGGCUGUGGCUCAACCAUAGUUCGCUUUGGAAACUGUCAAACUUGAGUGCAGAAGGGGAGAGUGGAAUUCCAUGUGUAGCGGUGAAAUGCGUAGAUAUAUGGAGGAACACCGGUGGCGAAAGCGGCUCUCUAGUCUGUAACUGACGCUGAGGCUCGAAAGCGUGGGGGAGCGAACAGGAUU